CUAGUUAAUAGGGAGUCUAGCUUCAAACCCACAUCUGACUGAAUCUAAUUCCACCUACAGCUUUGAAGGCUCAGAAAACAUAACUGCUUGAAAAACUGAGUUAACUCUAUGACUGCCAGGACAAAAGCUUAGGAUUUAGAAAUGAAACAAUGAAUAAGUAGACAUUUUGCUCUCAUUUUGUUAUUUUUUACUUUAUUUUCCAAAUAUGUUUAGGUUAAAGAAAAGAACAUGGGAUUUAGAGUCAAAUAGGCAGGUGUUUUGAUUCUACCCUUGCUAACCCUGUGACCUUUGAAGGCUAAACCCCAAGUGAAGCGACCAGCAAUAAAUACUCAGGUGACUCUAAUGGAAGCCAAAGCAAUGCCAUAUGACAAAGGCAUUGGAUGUUCAUUCAUUUUCCAAGAAAGGGGUAAAAGGACAGCCUACGUUGUCCAGUGGAGGCAGCCUUCCCAUUCCAACGGACAUUUGUGGGAUAUUAGAGACCAAGAAGUGUUAAGAGAUGAUCUUCACAAAAUGCUGAGCUUGUGUGGGUGUCGAACUACAAACAGGAGGAGAUGGAUAUUCACAUGCAGUGGUGGAGGGUUAUGGCUCUCCAGCCUGGAGGAUUGGAGCUUGAGCCAGGUGAACAGUGGGUCCAUUAAAGGGGCAGCUCAGUUCAGCAAGUCAGAGCCUGAACAGGAUGAAAGGGGCAACCCACAAAGAUGAGGACUGAAUUGGAGUUACAGAUCCCAGUUGGUUGGAGAGACCAUUUUCCUGGAGGAUGACCCAGUUUGGGAGUCACAGCCAGAGCUGGGAUAAAAGAUAAUCCACACUCUUUUGGAUAUAAUAUGUAUGGAAAGAAGCUUUCAUUUGCAUCAAUAUGCUAGUCCAUGGAGUACACAGAU
rnacentral:lncRNA from 1 species